rnacentral:pre_miRNA from 17 species
AAAUUUUAACCAUGGAAAGCUUCUCUAGUUAGUUUUGCAGGUUUGCAUCCAGCUGUUAAUACAUAUUGCUGUGCAAAUCCAUGCAAAACUGACUAUAGAAGUAAAAUACAACUAGUGUUGAA